GAAGCGAAGUCGCGAGGCGGAGCGAACCUCAAAAACCGGUACCCAGUUCGGAUCGCGGGCUGCAACUCGCCCGCGUGAAGCCGGAGUUGCUAGUAAUCGCGGAUCAGAACGCCGCGGUGAAUGCGUUCCCGGGUCUUGUACACACCGCCCGUCACACCAUGGAAGUCGGGGGCGCCCGAAGUCGGUCGAGAAAUAGGCUGCCUAAGGUGAAACCGAUGACUGGGGUGAAGUCGUAACAAGGUAAC
rnacentral:rRNA from 1 species